rnacentral:lncRNA from 1 species
AACUGUCUCUUCUUGCUGAGAGCUUUUCUUAAAAAACACUUUUACUUACAGGUAAACGCAUGCAUCCAUAUAUAACAUAUACAUACAUAUACACAAAAAUAUAACCGCUAUAAAACGACCACACAACAACUAUAAAAUGGAGAUUGAAUUAAGGCAAUGAUUACUAUCUUUUAGAUACUCCUCUCCACGAGAAGAAAGUUUCAUCUGUUCUUUGUACCACACAUGGGCAUGACACAUCAUACAUCACAAUUAAAGGCAGAUUUUCACAUUUGGAAACCAUGAAACCCUCAGUUAUAAUCAAAUAGAUUGAAUUCCAAUCUGUUAAUUAAAAAGCUCUGUAAGUUGAAGGAAUUAAAUAAAGUAGAAAUACUUUAAAGGAAAUGUUAUCCUUUUAAGGAAAUCUGAACCUUUCUCCUUAUAACCACUACAAUUUUUUCAAACAAAUUAAAAUGGUGCCAGAACCUUAAAGUCCCAUCAUAGCCCAGCAAGACUGUUGCUAUGUCAUUCCAUGGUCCAAAUAGGUUUGCCUCAACCCUCUAGGACAAAAUGUUUUUUAGCUAGAUUUAAGUUUGGUGUCCCUUCCUCACUGUGAUUUAUCUAGGUAAGAUUCAGCAGCAGUCACUAAUAUAAAUGUUUAGUUGUGGGUCCUCCAGCAUGAGCAUAUUUUACUGAAAUUUUUAAUGGCUUUUAUAAAAGAUAGUGGAUGAAUUUGUAUACUGAGUUACAGAGUUUAAUGGGAAGAUACUACUACAUUUAGAGUGAGAACUGGAUUCAAACCUUUCUUCCUAUCUGUUAUCUUAAAUCAUUUAAACUCUUGAGUUUCAAGUUUCUUUGUCUAUAAAAUUGGAAUAUAUGAGAAUAUGAACAAUCAACUGGAGAGAAAACCAACUCUCUACUUAUAAUUCCUACAAAAUACACCAACUUAACUUUUGUAUAAAACUAUACAUUUUAGCCAGUAAUAAUUACGAUAGCACUUUCAAGCUUUGCAAAGGACCUAACAUAUUAUCUCACUUGGUUCUCAAAGGUUCCAAACCCAUGGUGACACUCUCCUUGCCUGUUCCUGGACUUCAGAAAUAUUGCUCUCCAGUUACCGCGGGCUCCUCCUAGACCUUCCUGGCAUAUCCCUCUCCUCCCAAUCCUAAAUUUCUCCAUUUUGUGAAGGUGCCCAGGCUGGCUUGCCUUCAUUUCCCUUCCAGACUUAGUCUUGUUUUCUCUGGACUUCAAUACCAAUGCCCACCCCUGCUUCCCUAUUUCCUACUGCAGUUCCCAGAAA